rnacentral:lncRNA from 1 species
CAGAAGACUUGGUCAGGGCUGAAUUACAACCAGAGAUAGCAUAGAGCAUUAGGUAGCAGAGGACCUCCAGGCUUCAGAAUUACAUUCUCCUUUCUUCCUUCAACAAAGUCCUAAGUUAUUGCUCUGAUUUGACUCUGUGAUUGACUACCCCAUGGGGCAGAAUGCCCUGCUCAUUAGUGACUCUGGGUAGUUUUGUUUAUUUCUAGUUGUGUAUUUUGUUCAUUUUUGUGCAUGCAUCUGAAGAUUUUCCAAAGAAAGUGAUGAAUGUAUUUUCAUAAAUCAAAAAAAGAGUAAAUAAAAGCAUGAAAGUCCAGAGACUGGAAUUUGAUAUGCCAGGCCAGAAGGUGCCCCUGGCUAUGUCUGGGUGAAGAUACAUUAUUUGUUUAAGCAAGGUCAAGUCUCUGUUGACUUCUUAGUUUGUUCUUGGAACCUUGUCUGUUCUCAGUCCCAAGAAGUCAUGGAUUUGGUAUCUGAUGGCUUUUCCCACAUCCAAAUCUUCAGGGUCAAGAAGAGGUUGAGGAGGCCUGUGAUUUCCUGCCUUGGUUGUCUCCUGAUGAGAAUGGAAGCUCCUUGAGGACAGGCAUUGCUUUUUUGCUUUUCUUUGGGGCCUCAGCACUUAGCAUGAAAGGAUGGCCUUCAAUGUGAGGGAAGCAGAAGGAUUAUAUUCAGAAAUGAAGGUGAUAUGAAAGCAAAAAACCCUAGAAAAAUUAAAAAUGAAAAGGAGAAUACAUAACAAUUGUUCAACCAUUGUCAAAGAAUCUCUGCAAAACUUUGGUGAGCUGAGAUUGUAUAAAUGCCUUGAUUUGAUUUUUUUUCUGUGAAAGGGAGAAGAGGUGAAUUUUGG